rnacentral:rRNA from 1 species
CGUAUCACCCAAGACAACUUUACGGAGUUGACGAUUGACGGAGCGAAGCGACGUCAAAGCGUUCAUUAAAGUCGAGUUGGCUUAGGGAUACGUUCGUUGGGUAGGGGAGCGUUCUGUAAGCCUGCGAAGGUGGCCUGUGAGGGUUGCUGGAGGUAUCAGAAGUGCGAAUGCUGACAUAAGUAACGAUAAAGCGGGUGAAAAGCCCGCUCGCCGGAAGACCAAGGGUUCCUGUCCAACGUUAAUCGGGGCAGGGUGAGUCGACCCCUAAGGCGAGGCCGAAAGGCGUAGUCGAUGGGAAACGGGUUAAUAUUCCCGUACUUGGUGUUACUGCGAAGGGGGGACGGAGAAGGCUAUGUUGGCCGGGCGACGGUUGUCCCGGUUUAAGCGUGUAGGUGUGUGUUCCAGGUAAAUCCGGUUCACUUUAACACUGAGGCGUGAUGACGAGGCACUACGGUGCUGAAGCAACAAAUGCCCUGCUUCCAGGAAAAGCCUCUAAGCAUCAGGUAACAUCAAAUCGUACCCCAAACCGACACAGGUGGUCAGGUAGAGAAUACCAAGGCGCUUGAGAGAACUCGGGUGAAGGAACUAGGCAAAAUGGUGCCGUAACUUCGGGAGAAGGCACGCUGACACGUAGGUGAAGUGAUUUACUCACGGAGCUGAAGUCAGUCGAAGAUACCAGCUGGCUGCAACUGUUUAUUAAAAACACAGCACUGUGCAAACACGAAAGUGGACGUAUACGGUGUGACGCCUGCCCGGUGCCGGAAGGUUAAUUGAUGGGGUCAGCGCAAGCGAAGCUCCUGAUCGAAGCCCCGGUAAACGGCGGCCGUAACUAUAACGGUCCUAAGGUAGCGAAAUUCCUUGUCGGGUAAGUUCCGACCUGCACGAAUGGCGUAAUGAUGGCCAGGCUGUCUCCACCCGAGACUCAGUGAAAUUGAACUCGCUGUGAAGAUGCAGUGUACCCGCGGCAAGACGGAAAGACCCCGUGAACCUUUACUAUAGCUUGACACUGAACAUUGAGCCUUGAUGUGUAGGAUAGGUGGGAGGCUUUGAAGUGUGGACGCCAGUCUGCAUGGAGCCGACCUUGAAAUACCACCCUUUAAUGUUUGAUGUUCUAACGUGGACCCGUAAUCCGGGUUGCGGACAGUGUCUGGUGGGUAGUUUGACUGGGGCGGUCUCCUCCUAAAGAGUAACGGAGGAGCACGAAGGUUGGCUAAUCCUGGUCGGACAUCAGGAGGUUAGUGCAAUGGCAUAAGCCAGCUUGACUGCGAGCGUGACGGCGCGAGCAGGUGCGAAAGCAGGUCAUAGUGAUCCGGUGGUUCUGAAUGGAAGGGCCAUCGCUCAACGGAUAAAAGGUACUCCGGGGAUAACAGGCUGAUACCGCCCAAGAGUUCAUAUCGACGGCGGUGUUUGGCACCUCGAUGUCGGCUCAUCACAUCCUGGGGCUGAAGUAGGUCCCAAGGGUAUGGCUGUUCGCCAUUUAAAGUGGUACGCGAGCUGGGUUUAGAACGUCGUGAGACAGUUCGGUCCCUAUCUGCCGUGGGCGCUGGAGAACUGAGGGGGGCUGCUCCUAGUACGAGAGGACCGGAGUGGACGCAUCACUGGUGUUCGGGUUGUCAUGCCAAUGGCACU